rnacentral:rRNA from 1 species
GAUGAACGCUGGCGGCGUGCCUAAUACAUGCAAGUCGAGCGAACAGACGAGGAGCUUGCUCCUCUGACGUUAGCGGCGGACGGGUGAGUAACACGUGGAUAACCUACCUAUAAGACUGGGAUAACUUCGGGAAACCGGAGCUAAUACCGGAUAAUAUAUUGAACCGCAUGGUUCAAUAGUGAAAGACGGUUUUGCCGUCACUUAUAGAUGGAUCCGCGCCGCAUUAGCUAGUUGGUAAGGUAACGGCUUACCAAGGCGACGAUGCGUAGCCGACCUGAGAGGGUGAUCGGCCACACUGGAACUGAGACACGGUCCAGACUCCUACGGGAGGCAGCAGUAGGGAAUCUUCCGCAAAGGGCGAAAGCCUGACGGAGCAACGCCGCGUGAGUGAUGAAGGUCUUCGGAUCGUAAAACUCUGUUAUUAGGGAAGAACAAAUGUGUAAGUAACUAUGCACGUCUUGACGGUACCUAAUCAGAAAGCCACGGCUAACUACGUG